AGUGAACGCUGGCGGUAGGCCUAACACAUGCAAGUCGAACGGCAGCACAGGAGAGCUUGCUCUCUGGGUGGCGAGUGGCGGACGGGUGAGGAAUACAUCGGAAUCUACCUUGUCGUGGGGGAUAACGUAGGGAAACUUACGCUAAUACCGCAUACGACCUUCGGGUGAAAGUGGGAGACCGCAAGGCCUCACGCGAUUAGAUGAGCCGAUGUCGGAUUAGCUAGUUGGCGGGGUAAAAGCCCACCAAGGCGACGAUCCGUAGCUGGUCUGAGAGGAUGAGCAGCCACACGGGAACUGAGACACGGUCCAGACUCCUACGGGAGGCAGCAGUGGGGAAUAUUGGACAAUGGGCGCAAGCCUGAUCCAGCCAUACCGCGUGGGUGAAGAAGGCCUUCGGGUUGUAAAGCCCUUUUGUUGGGAAAGAAAUCUUGCCGGUUAAUACCUGGCGAGGAUGACGGUACCCAAAGAAUAAGCACCGGCUAACUUCGUGCCAGCCGCCGCAGUAACAC
rnacentral:rRNA from 1 species